UGUAACUACGCGCCGGCGGAGGAGGUAAUAGGUAGUAAGCAAGUGUGUUUUGGCAUUACUGGGCGGUAAGAGUGUGUAGGCGGGGUUGUAAGUCUGGUGUGUGAGCUGCCGGUUCAACUGGGAGGGUGCGCCGGAAACUGGAAUGCUGGAGUAUGGGAGAGGUAAGCGGAAUUCCUGGUGUAGCGGUGAAAUGCGUAGAUAUCAGGAGGAACACCUGUGGUGUAGACAGCUUACUGGACCAUCACUGACGCUGAGACACGAAAGCGUGGGUAGCAAACAGGAUUAGAUACCCGGGUAGUC
rnacentral:rRNA from 1 species